rnacentral:lncRNA from 10 species
AGAAAAGAGGACACAAAAGCAUGAAUAACAGGAGGAUGGAUAUAGAAUACCAGCAUCAGCAAGUGUACACGAUUUAAAGCACAUUUGGUAUCUAUUACCAAGCUGCCCUUCAGAGAGGUUGUCUCGUUACACAUUCCACAGCUGUGACUGAGAAACCGUCUUGUCGCAUUUGACAAUCCAGGUUACUAUCUAAAAACUUGAGUUUGUAAGAGCAACACGCCAUGAGAUAAUAUUCGUGCAAAUGUAACUGACAAAAGACUAACAUCCCAUAAUACUAGAGCACCUACAAACCAAGAAGAUAAACAUCCCAUUGGGAAAGUGUAAAAAUAUGAACAUAAAGUUUACAGAAGAAAAAACACAAAUGGCUCAUAAACACACAAAAAGAUGAUAUUGCUUCCUGGUAAUUGGGGAAAUGCAAACAAAAACUACAAUGAAAUAUCGUGGUAUCGUGUAUCAAAUUUGCAGAGCAUAAAAUAGAUUACAUUCGCAACCAGCAACUACAACCCAACCUUCAGCCUCACUGGACUUCUUGCCAUUCCCCAAACCAUAUCCACGCCCCUCUCCACAGGCUGUUCCUUCUGCCUGCAUGCCCUCGAUGGCACCAAGGGGGAUGGGCACACUAACACAACUGCUGGGAAUGGGAAAGUUUCAACCUCUUGGGAAUAAAAUCUAACAGUAUUUAUUGGAAUGUAACCUGUGCAUACUCCACAGCUGGGCCACUACCCUGCAAGAACCCCUCUGGCUGCUGCACAAAGCUCUUCUCUGCAUCCUUUUUUAUACUAGUGGAACCCUGGACACAGCCUGCAUAUGGAUCAAAAGGGCAGUGGUUAUAAAUAUACUAUGGUCCAUCUCUAGGCUAGACUGUGAUGCAGUGGUUAAAGCCAAGUAUUGCAGAAGAGUGAUUAAGCAUUCGUGCUCCAAAGCCAGAUAGCCUAGGUUUCAAUCCCAGCUUUGCCACUUACUUGCUGUGUGAUCUUGUGCAACUCACUUAGCCUUUCUGUGUCACAGUUUCUCCAUCUGUAUAACGGACGAUAACACUAGCCCCUACCUCAUAGGGUCAUUGUGAAGAGUAAAUGAAAUUAAUAUUGCCUAUGUCACAGAGUGAUCCUCCUCAAAAUCUAUUAGAUGAAAAAAGAAAUUUCUAGAAAUUAUCUACAUACAUAUUCUGAUGGGAUUUGUGUAAAGAAUUUAACCAACAAACCCAUAUUACACACACAUACACACACACUCACACAGACACACUCACACACACACACACGCACUCACGUGCGUAGAAGUAGAUCUAGGAAGAUCCAUGACACACAUGCGAGGCAGGUGAAUGGGGACAUUAAAAGGAGGACUUCCACGUUUAAUUCUGAAUGGUCUAUUUUAUUUGUGCAAUUUUUAAAAAUCAAAGCAAUAAAUCACUGUAAAAGAAA